rnacentral:rRNA from 1 species
UACGAAGGGUGCUAGCGUUGUUCGGAAUUACUGGGCGUAAAGCGAACGUAGGCGGUGUUCCAUGUCAGAGGUGAAAGCCUGGGGCUCAACUCCAGAAUUGCCUUUGAAACGGGAACGCUUGAGUCCGAGAGAGGAUGGCGGAAUUCCUAGUGUAGAGGUGAAAUUCGUAGAUAUUAGGAAGAACACCGGUGGCGAAGGCGGCCAUCUGGCUCGGUACUGACGCUCAGGUUCGAAAGCGUGGGGAGCAAACAGG